rnacentral:rRNA from 1 species
CCUACGGGAGGCAGCAGUAGGGAAUAUUGGGCAAUGGGCGCAAGCCUGACCCAGCCAUGCCGCGUGCCGGAAGAAGGCCCUCUGGGUUGUAAACGGCUUUUGACGGGGAAGAAACGACUCUUGCGAGAGGCAUUGACGGUACCCGCAGAAUAAGCACCGGCUAACUCCGUGCCAGCAGCCGCGGUAAUACGGAGGGUGCAAGCGUUGUCCGGAUUUAUUGGGUUUAAAGGGUGCGUAGGCGGUCUGGUAAGUCGGCGAUGAAAGCCCGGGGCUCAACCCCGGAACUGUCGUCGAUACUGUCGGACUUGAAUAUGGUGGAGGCUGGCGGAAUGGGCGGUGUAGCGGUGAAAUGCAUAGAUACCGUCCAGAACCCCGAUUGCGAAGGCAGCUGGCUGUACCAUUAUUGACGCUGAGGCACGAAAGCGUGGGGAGCGAACAGGAUUAGAUACCCUGGUAGUCCACGCCGUAAACGAUGGAUACUCGUCGUCGGCGAUAGAUAGUCGGCGGACUCAGACGAAGACGGUAGUACUACCACCGUCGGAGGUACGCCGCGACGUACGAACGACGAAGAAGUAGACGCGNGAGACGNGCGACGACGACGACGAGGAGGAGG